AAUCCGGUUGAUCCUGCCGGACCCUACUGCUAUCGGGGUGGGACUAAGACAUGCGAGUCGAACGCCUCCAAGCCACGAUGGAGGCGCGGCGCACGGCUCAGUAACACGUGGUCAACCUACCCUUGGGACGGAUGCAACCCCGGGAAACUGGGGCUAAUCUCCGAUAGGCGAAGAGGCCUGGAAUGGUUCUUCACCCAAAAGACGUUGGAAUCAUGCUUCCAACGCCGCCCAAGGAUGGGACCGCGACCGAUCAGGCUGUUGGUGAGGUAACGGCUCACCAAACCUAUAACCGGUACGGGCCGCGGGAGCGGUAGCCUGGAGAUGGGCACUGAGACAAGGGCCCAGGCCCUACGGGGUGCAGCAGUCGCGCAACCUCUGCAAUACGCGAAAGCGUGACAGGGCUACCCCGAGUGCCGUCCGCUGAGGAUGGCUUUUCUCCGGUGUAGUAAGCCGGAGGAAUAAGGAGAGGGCAAGUCUGGUGUCAGCCGCCGCGGUAAUACCAGCUCUCCGAGUGGUAGGGACGAUUAUUGGGCCUAAAGCGUCCGUAGCCGGCCAAGCAAGUUUCCCGUUAAAUCCAGCGAUCCAAUCGUUGGACUGCGGGAAAUACUGUUUGGCUAGGGGGCGAGAGAGGCCAACGGUAUUCCCGGGGUAGGGGUGAAAUCCUAUAAUCCCGGGAAGACCACCAGUGGCGAA
rnacentral:rRNA from 1 species